UACGCACAAACGAUCAGCGUUUAUCUGGAUGUUACUUGUUUCUAACUUGUUGUAAUGUAUUAUGCUCGCAAGGGUAAAGUGUGUGGGAGUGGCUGUAAGCGGCAGUGUGUCAGACUCACUGAUACACGCAAGUUACAACUUUUCACGCUGUUUUACUCCAGUACAUAUGAGAAGCAGCAAGCUUUGAUUCUCUCGGGCAUGGAACAGCACCAAGUGAGGCGAAGACGCUCCAAGGAAAACAGUGAACACAGAAAACAUCAGAGUUUUUUCUAUUAUAUUCAGCAAGCAGGGCAGAGACUAAAUGUUUGCAAAACAACAUUCAUGUCAGUGUAUCAGCUGACAAACAGUCGCUUACAGGUUAUUCAGGAAAAGUUGCACAAAUGUGAGUUAGGGCAAA